UACGUAGGGUGCAAGCGUUGUCCGGAAUUAUUGGGCGUAAAGAGCUCGUAGGCGGUUGGUCGCGUCGGCUGUGAAAACCCGGAGCUCAACUCCGGGCCUGCAGUCGAUACGGGCCGACUUGAGUGUUGCAGGGGAGACUGGAAUUCCUGGUGUAGCGGUGAAAUGCGCAGAUAUCAGGAGGAACACCGGUGGCGAAGGCGGCUCACUGGAUCGGUACUGACGCUGAGGUGCGAAAGCGUGGGGAGCAAACAGG
rnacentral:rRNA from 1 species